UCUAACGGCGAUGAUGAUAACACAUAAUCCCAGCUCUAUGAGACCUUUUGUCCAACUAUGUUCAUACAUAUAUCUGAGCCUUUGA